UUUUUUAGCCCUGUAUCCCGGAUCCCUCUCGGUUUGGUAUUUCCCCCGGGAAACUCCUGUAAUUUGCAUGGCCUUUAAAUAAUCAGACCAAUAUGUCUGUCUAAUGCUGACCACUUGCCAGAUCUGGUAAGAAACGUUUUGUAUUCACACAAUCCACACACCAUAUACAAUGUUCAACCCGUUUGUCACCUCAACCUGGCACCUGUAACCCAGUUCUCGGAAAGUUCUCA